GUUGGUAUUGUAUAGACAACUUUGAGCACGUUGCUUUCUUGUAUGCCAUUGUAGAUUUAGGAACAUAAAUUUUCAUGUGUGCAGAAUCUCUCAUCAGAAACAAAGAAAGUUGAUAUUUGUAUACAUAGCAGAUUGCCGGGUCACCGGUCAUAUGUAUGUAUAUUUUUUUUUGAAUUGCAAAGGAAUUAUUUCAUCAAUAAAAAUGGUGAAACCGAGUAUAAGACGUACUAAACCCACCAAAAAUGAUAAAGUUCAAGUAGUACUCACAACAUCCAAAUGACAACACUAACAAGCAUUAUCUAAGCAUACAAUACACCGGGUUCGAGUCUCACUCAUAAAACAUACAAGAAGCACCCACUUUCUUUGAAAAUAACCAUUGCCAAG
rnacentral:lncRNA from 1 species